rnacentral:rRNA from 1 species
UACGAAGGGGGCUAGCGUUGCUCGGAAUUACUGGGCGUAAAGGGCGUGCAGGCGGUUUGUUAAGUCUAGGGUGAAAGCUCCCGGCUCAACUGGGAGAGGUCCUUGGAUACUGGCGAACUUGAGGGAUGCAGAGGAAAGUGGAAUUCCCGGUGUAGUGGUGAUAUGCGUAGAUAUCGGGAGGAACACCAGUGGCGAAGGCGGCUUUCUGGGCAUUUCCUGACGCUGAGACGCGAAAGCGUGGGGAGCGAACCGG